rnacentral:rRNA from 1 species
GAUGAACGCUGGCGGCGUGCCUAAUACAUGCAAGUCGAGCGAACAGACGAGGAGCUUGCUCCUCUGACGUUAGCGGCGGACGGGUGAGUAACACGUGGAUAACCUACCUAUAAGACUGGGAUAACUUCGGGAAACCGGAGCUAAUACCGGAUAAUAUAUUGAACCGCAUGGUUCAAUAGUGAAAGACGGUUUUGCUGUCACUUAUAGAUGGAUCCGCGCCGCAUUAGCUAGUUGGUAAGGUAACGGCUUACCAAGGCAACGAUGCGUAGCCGACCUGAGAGGGUGAGCGGCCACACGGGAACUGAGACACGGUCCAGACGCCUACGGGAGGCAGCAGUAGGGAAUCUUCCGCAAUGGGCGAAAGCCUGACGGAGCAACGCCGCGUGAGUGAUGAAGGUCUUCGGAUCGUAAAACUCUGUUAUUAGGGAAGAACAAAUGUGUAAGUAACUAUGCACGUCUUGACGGUACCUAAUCAGAAAGCCACGGCUAACUACGUG